rnacentral:tRNA from 1 species
GCCAUGGAGGACUAGUGGUUAGGCCACAGUGCUCUCACCACUGCAGCCCAGGUUCGAUUCCUGGCCAGGGAA